rnacentral:rRNA from 1 species
UAGGGAAUCUUCGGCAAUGGGGGCAACCCUGACCGAGCAACGCCGCGUGAGUGAAGAAGGUUUUCGGAUCGUAAAGCUCUGUUGUAAGAGAAGAACGAGUGUGAGAGUGGAAAGUUCACACUGUGACGGUAACUUACCAGAAAGGGACGGCUAACUACGUGCCAGCAGCCGCGGUAAUACGUAGGUCCCGAGCGUUAUCCGGAUUUAUUGGGCGUAAAGCGAGCGCAGGCGGUUAGAUAAGUCUGAAGUUAAAGGCUGCGGCUUAACCAUAGUACGCUUUGGAAACUGUUUAACUUGAGUGCAGAAGGGGAGAGUGGAAUUCCAUGUGUAGCGGUGAAAUGCGUAGAUAUAUGGAGGAACACCGGUGGCGAAAGCGGCUCUCUGGUCUGUAACUGACGCUGAGGCUCGAAAGCGUGGGGAGCAAACAGGAUUAGAUACCCUGGUAGUCCACGCCGUANACGAUGAGUGCUAGGUGUUGGGUCCUUUCCGGGACUCAGUGCCGCAGCUAACGCAUUAAGCACUCCGCCUGGGGAGUACGACCGCAAGGUUG